CUGCUCCCUUCAGCAGCACAUAAACAAAAACUGAAACCAUACAGAAAGAUUAACAUGGCCCACGUGCAAGGAUGACACCCAAAUUUCUGAAGCAUGCCAUAUUUUA
ensembl:snRNA U6 U6 spliceosomal RNA